AGCUCCCGUCUCCUCUGUGCUG
rnacentral:miRNA from 1 species